GGGGGUGAAAGGCUUCGACGAAAUUUAUGAACCAAUCGGAUGCUUAGAGUGGAUGGCCGUUAACCACUAUAAAACCUCGACCAACUUAAUAGGUGCAAAUACGCAACCUAAUUACGCUUUCGCCUAACAUCGUUUAGGUAAGCCAUCCUGCCUUGAUGCUAAAUAAAGGAUUACGGGGUGUUAUAUCUUUAGCUGGACAGCGGUUCAUUGUUUUCCUGUUUCGCUGUUAAGAAUAUGGAAAAAUAGUCUGAAGUUAUUUUGUUGGUUUUUUAGCUUCAAAUGAAAUACCAAACCGACCAUCUAAGUAGAAAUUCAUCGGACCAAAUUUCGGACGGGGUUUCAAUACCCCCACCUCCACAG
rnacentral:tmRNA from 6 species